rnacentral:lncRNA from 1 species
UUGGGUUGUGAACCUUCCUGCUGAUCUUUAAAGAGUCCAAGAAUUUUUGUACGGCAAUGGCCCUUGGAGCAAUCAAGUACUGAUGCCUCAGGGGGAUCGUAGGGGCCCAAUAUAUCCAGUAAUUUCCUCCAAGGUCGGCGUGAGUUCGAAAUCCGAGAAAUGGAAUACAUUGUGAGUCAGGUCCUAGAAUGUGAUUAAUGCCUUUAUGAUGUCUCCCAUUUGGUUAAUCUUUAAUAGACCGGUAAGUCCUCCCAAAUGCAUGUUGAUCCUAUUUUGUCCGGCUUCACCAAGGUCGUUCCACCACAUGUGUAGCUCCCAGGAAAUUUUGUUCAUGAAUGUUAUUGGCAAAUGCUGAUUUGUGCUCAUUCUGCACAUUUAUUAGGGCGAUUGAAUAGAAAAUCAAGAUUUAUUGGACUCAAAAAUUGAUUUUCAAAUGUUCGCUUCAAAGAUUAAAUCCCGGCAUUUCAAGCAGGACCUUUCAGCACUUCCGGAGGAAGAUUUUAAGGCUGAGCCUGCUACUGGCCUAAAAAUAACCCAUGGCGGCUGUUCUUGCAAAAACCUCCCUUCCAGCACCCUUUUUGAGGCACUCGACUAUUUUGACAAGGCUGCUUUAUUUAUUAGUCGCAAACAAAACCUGAUUCUUUUGGUAAAAAUGAAGUUGGGCCCGAUGGGGGUUGCCUACGUAUCUCACACCCUGUGAGAAUCAAGCUGGCGUUGUUCGGGCAAAUAAAACGAACUAUUCUUUUGAAAAAUAUAUUCUUUUUCCCUUUUUUUUACAUUGGCGAGUAAAUAAGCUAUUUUUAAAACAAACUAUUUUGAAACAAGACUCUUUUUUCCUUUUUUUUAAUUACUUCAUAGGCAAAUAAAUAAGCUAUUUUUAAAACAAACUAUUCUUACAAACAAGACUAUUUUUUUUAUCUUUUUGAUUGGCAAAUAAACAAACUAUUUUUGAAGAUAAACCCUUUUCUCCUUUCUCUUUUUUUUUUCAUUUUUUCCAAAAAUUCGGCAGAAUUUCAACACUAUUUGGACACAUGUUUUUUUCAAAACAGACGGUUAACUCUCUUUACCCUUAUACUUCCACUUCUUUUCUCAACCUUUUCCCAAUAUUCAUAAGCCGGCCAGCAUGCUAUUCCGGAAUAAAUGCAUGUAGCAUGCAAAAUGUAUCAGGAUGGUCCAUCAUUUUGGGUACACAUGUCCUAGACGGACCCAACCCCUGUUUUGAGUCCCCUAAGUCAAAUGCGUGAUGUAGGUAAGUGUUCCUAAUAGGGAUCCGCCAUGAGGUUGACUUAUUCUAGGUUCAAAACCUUGGUAUAUGUUGUAGACUAGCGGACAACUCGAGUCGAGGAUGGGGAUACGUACCAGGAACCGAAAGUCCAUCCGGCUUAGUAACUUGUCCGAGCCACUUUCUUAUUUUAAGGUAUGACGCUAAUAGAAUUGGGAGUCUCGACCAGCGAGCACAUCCCCCAAGAGAGAAGAGAUGGGAUUCGUAGUAGUUUAUAUCAGUUCAGAUAAUAUCAAAGUGGUAAAAGGCAACAUUUAGCAUAUCCAUCCCAAACAUGUAAUAAAUAAGAUAAUAAAUAAAGCCAAAUACAACAAUUAUUAUGAGCUCAAACUCUUGAACCCUGAACCAGAGAUUCUAGGUUUGAAUCCCCAGCAGAGUCUCCAGAGCGGUCACACCUCCUUUUUCAUUACUACAACCCGGAUAGGGUAUAAUAAGGUAGUUUUUCCAAUUUAAGGACAAUCAAAACGGGAUCUAAUUAUUUAAGUCAUUUUCAGCGUCGCCACUUGGGAGAUUUAUGGUGUCCGAAGUCACUAGUUUAGAAUCUUGAAUCGAGGAAAAGAAUGACUCUGUUUAACAAUCCGCGAACCAGAAAUCUGAGUAAGGAAUUAUGUUAACUUGGGAGAAGGUAUUGGGCAUUCCCGAGUUCCAUGGUUCUAGCACGGUCGCUUAACUAUCAUAUUUGGCUUAAAUUAUAUGAUUUUAAACAAUUUAUGAACCUGUAUGCAAUUUUUAAUUUUUAGCCACUUUUAUUAUUUGUUUUAAAGAGAAUUACAGCAUCGUCAAAACAUGCCUCGAACCACGUCACAUAAAUGCACCCGUCGUUUUUGAUAUAUUUCAACUUCGUUGGGAUUUGGAUUUGGGUCACAUAAAUGCGCACCCGGAUUUAGGAAAGUAAGUUAUUAAAAUGCGUCUAAAAUGACUAACGUGUUAUUAUCAUUGCGGGAAGCCAUGAAGUUCUCUAAAGGGCAUGUCUUGAAUUUCUAAGUAUCAAUUUAAGAUUAAAUUGAGGGCCAUGUAAUUGUUAUUUUGUUCGGCAAAACGCGCCUUAAUUUCAUUUCUGCAUAUUGCACUCAACUUAUAGAAAACUAUGGAUGUUCAGAAGCUAUCUUCAAAAAUACUCAUUAUUUCAAUUGCAAGGCUAGGCUACUACGAUUUGUAUUAGAUGAAUAAAUAAGGAUCCCUCCAUUUCACUAUCAGUUGCAGCUGAUGUGACUCACUUAAUUUGAAGGGCAACAAAUAAGUUAAUAAGUGGUGGUAUUAUAAACUUAGCAUAAGCCUUCUUAUUAUGAGAAAUAGUAAAGUUAUUUUUGUAUCCAUAUACUUAUUCAACAGCAAAACGGGAUUAACUAAGGUAAAUGGACAUAUCCAAUAAUAUAUAUAUUCUCAACCAAAAACUAAGUUGGUCGUUGGAUUACUUAGCACAAGUAUUGGGUUAAAUUACUAAAUGAAAUACGAAUGCAGCCAUUGGUAUAAGAAAAUGCAUCACACUUAAUACUUGCACUGGUUACACUAGUGAAGCAAAAUAGCCCUGAUCUGGUCCUCUAACAAGAUUGCAUGCAAACUUAAAGGCUUCAAAGUUAAUCAUAAUUACAUGAAACUAAAACAUGAGACAAUACAAGCUAAGGACACAUGAUCUGAUACACAAAUCAUUAGCCUGAGUACUAAUUAUCACAAACCAUAUAUAAAAGCUAAUUUGAAUGAAAGAGUAACGGUGAAAACAAAUAACGAAUGCAAAACAAGGGAACAUGGAGAACUUUCAUGCUUCAGCUCUUAUUUCUACUUCCAAUGGAGGAAUACAUAUGCCUAAUUGUGAACACGUACCUGGAGAGCAAGGAAAUUGAGAUUUGAGAAGAGUCAACAACAGUUGUGGGAAUCAACGACAACAACUCAAGCUCCAAACCCAAUUUCAUGCUUGAAACCCGAGAUGUAUCACCAAAUCAAGCUUAUAAAACCAAUAUCGAGAAAAUUGAAUUUCAAUCCAUUUAAAAAAAUCCCAAGAACUAACAAAUGGCUUCAGUAAGUCCAAAACCUCACGGUUCAAAGCAAAGACUCGAUGGAGCAAGAAAUUUGAUUUUUUAGCCUAUUUCAAUUUUUUUGGAUUUCUCUUUUUAACUUUUGGAAUCUGAACUCUAUAUUUUAACAAUUUUUUCCUUUUCUUGCAAGGCAAGUAUGGGGUGCCUUUAUAGGCAAAGGAUUAUGGCACCUUAUCUUAACCAGUCAUUUUCUACUUUACCCCUCUUGAACAAAACAAUUUUACCUUCCUACCCUUAUUAAGAAUCUGAAAAUCAUGCUUCUUAACAUACUCACACUUAUCUUAUCUCUGGAAACUUCUACCCAACAGAAAUGAUUCCCUCCCCUACCUAGAAUUCCUGCAUUGCCCUUAGCCUGGUUGGUUAUUGCAAUCCUUACCCGACCCCUAAGACCCAUCAAGUUCCCUUUGAUGCAAUUAAGACCCUAGAGUUCCCACUAAUUAACAAACAAACAAACAAAUAUGUUUUAGAAUUGAAGGAGCAAGGAAGAUCAAACAAACCAAUAUUGAAUCGCCUUAAACUUACAACUAGACUUGCAUCUACUGCCCAAAGACCUUGGAAUUGCAAUGAAACACUCCGGAACCCUUGAAUCUAUUUAGAAACUAGUACGCAUGGACUGGAUUUACUAGACAUAAUAGAUAAUAUCUCUAACCCUAACAUGCCUCCAAUUCCGUUUUCUUAAUGAACAAAUAACUACACAAAAUCAAUUCUUAAACCUAUGAGAAAUAAAACUUAGAAAGAAGAAAACCAAAAAAAAGAGAAAGAAAUAGAACAACAAACAACUUAAUGGCUAAAUACAAUCCAAAUUUUUAUAGAAAUGCAAAACAACCAAAAAUGAUGAGAAAGAAAAGAGAAUUACCAGGAACAAAACUCUUCGACACUGGAAUCUCUUACUCAGAUUGUCAAACCAAAGGGUGAACGCGAACUACCAUUAAUCGCCUGUUCUUAAUAAGAACAAAUCGACUAACAGAUGUUUGAGUUCACACAAGCAUAAAAUCCAAAAGAUGCAAAAGGGAAAGCAUGAACUAGGGCUUCAUAUCUUAGAUCCAAAAUUUGAAGCGUUUAGGAGUGAUUCGAGGGAAAUUAGAUAUGUAUUGGGCAUGGUAGGGUCAAGGCGGUUCCAUGGUGUUAAUUUGGGACUGGUUGGGUAAAGUAGGGUUUUGGGGCCCUAUUUCACUCUAAAAUUCGAAGAGCAUCGGGGUGAUUAAGAGAAAAUGGGUAGAGGAUUCAGGCUGGGGAAGGUGAGAGGAGUCCAUGGUGUAAAAUUUGGGGUAUUUGGUUGUCGGCCGCUCCCGUGAGCGGCGGAGCUGCCAAACUUUUGAGCUUCAUUCGACAAGGGUGGGAAAUAUUUGAAAGAAACAGAUGGUGGGGUUGGAAAGAGGAGUUUGAGGAGGUGAUGCGGUGUAAUUUUGGGUGGCAUUGUAGACUUGCCGGCGGCGGCGGCGAUUUUCGGCCAGCAGCGAACGACGGAGGGUGGUGGGGGACGGCGGCGUUACAUCAGAAAUAUUAGGGUUGUGUGAGAUCGUGAAUGUGGGAAGGGGCGUUAAGACAGUUAAAUAUUCCAUCAUCCUCAAUUCCAGACCAUUCGAUCAUCUGAGAUCAACGGUCCAGAUGAGAUAUGCCUAAGACGGGGGCGUUUGGUGACUAAGUGGCGUCGUUUAGGAAUAAGGGUGAUGGACCGCGUGCGGGGCGAGAUUGGGCCAAUUGGGGCAUGUAUUUUGGUGUAUUGGGUUGGGGUUUUUAAUAAACUGGCCUAGAAUAGGUUUAGCACAAGACCACCUAACUUAUAAAAAUCCUAAAUAAUAAAAAAAUAUGAAUCCAUAAUUGACCUAUAAAAAUCCUAAUUAAUCCUACAUAAUCAUUAUCUAAAUAAAAAUCACCUAAAGAAAACAAAAGUUAAAAUUAGAAGUACAAAUUAAAACUAUUUUUUGAUUUUUUUCAUUUUGUAAAAUAACUAAUUACUAAUUAAUCAUUAAAAAUGUAAGGUUAAAUCCUAAAAUGCAAAUGCCCAUAUUUUUUGUUUUUUCAUUUACUUAAUGCACAUAAAAAUACAAACACUUAGCAGAAAAUGCCACUAAUAUCAACAACAUAAAAAAUAAUUAAAAAUAGUGAAAAGAAAUUAUUUUGUUUGGAAUUAUGGGAGUAAUUUAUAUAGAAAAAACCACAUCCUCACAGCAGGAACCUAUCGUACUAAGGCCCUAGCGAAGCACCUCCCAUUGGGCCAUCGAGACAACGCCCCCGAAUCCGCUUCAAGCUUCGAGACCUCGAAAAACAUUAUCAAAUGGUUGCGCAUGAUUAACGAAGGGUCGUGAUAUCCACGCUCAACCGCAUAUCACGACGCGUAUCUUGGUCAGUAUCAGCAACAGACCAGUCAUUAGAAAAAAGGAAGAUUUUUACCUUUAUUAGAAUUGUACAUAGGGGAAAACUCCCCUACUACAUAAAAAGGAAGUUUAUCAUUCAAUAGGGACACUGUAACACGUAUACCAAGGCAAUAUAUAUUUUAUUUCUCUGCUUCUAAAAGUUAUUUAAAGUCCUUAUUUUUGCUCAUAGUUCUUCAUAUGUAUUUGGCUCCGAACCGAAGGUAGGCUAAUUGCUAUGCUCAAAGCCGAGUUUGGACUCAAUAGUACUACUGGUUUGGCUAUUUAUUCUAUCUUUAAUUUUCUCUUUUAACAUUAUUGAACAAUUGUAUUAGAUUAAUCUAUAUAUCCUUAAACACGCGUAUAAAUUCAACUGUUAUCUAUUUUUUAAGGGUAAACAGUUUGGCGUGCACCAUGGGGAUAAGGAUAAUAGUGAUGGUUUGAUACAAAUUUCCAUAACACACUCAGUUUUACGCUUGUUCUUUGAGAUUUUAAUUUCAAGUGGAUCUAAAAAUGUCAAACUCUCAGUUUGUUUCCUUGAAUGCUGAUGCUGAGUUUGGCCAUCAUGGCAAAAACAACAAUAUAGUACGUAGCAAUGAGGUCCACCAUGCUGAUCCCAACGGAGUCCCGAUACCAGCCGAUGCAAACUCACAUAUGGCCAUCUACACCAACCUGCCGAUCAACAAUAAGAUCAACGUUUAUGGAGGAGACCGAUCAACGACUCGAGGUAAGCCCCAAGGUGAAGGCGACGAGAUCAAUCUGCGGAUGAUCUUUGAAAUGUUACAGGCCUAACAGGCAGUGAUUGCAUAGCUGUAGAAUCAAAGUCACGCCCCAAUAGAGUUAAGCCCGUACCUUCCCGAAAAAACACCCGAAGAAGUGAGCAAGUUGCAGAAAGGCUGGGUGAAGCUGAGCUUGGGACCAAUCUUGAAAUAAUAAAUAUGCUUGAGCAACUUACAAAGCGAGUGGAAUAGAGGGAUAAGAAAAUCGAGGCCAACGAAACAAAAACGGAGACCUAUGACUCUAGAGUCAAUCAAAUUUGAAGAGAAUCCCCGAUAUUGAAAGGUAUAGACUCCAAGACAUUUGUCCAAAAGCUUUUCCCUCCGAACGCAGCAUCGAAGCCUAUCACGAAGAAGUUCUAUAUGUCCUAUAUUCCAAAGUAUAAUGGAACCACGAAUCCAAAUGAGUACGUGACCUCCUACACGUGUGCCAUCAAGGGAAACGACUUAGAAGAUGAUGAGAUCAAGUUGGUUUUGCUAAAAAGCUGGAGAAACCCUGUUAAAAAAUAGCAAUGAUAUGGUAUCACAACUUACCACCAAAUUCUAUUGAUUCAUUUGCUAUACAUACAUAUGACUUUGUAAAAGCGCAUGUCGGGGCCAUCAAUGUUGAGACCAAAAAAUUGGAUAUUUUCAAGGUAAAACAAAGAGACAACGAAAUACUCAUGGAUUUUGCAUUAAGGUUUCAAACGUUAUAGAUGGACUUACCCUCGAUUGUGGAUGAUUAGGUCGUGCAAGCGUUCACUUAUGGAUUUUAACCCCUAAAGAUCCUUGGGUUCGCUGCAAUAAAAAUAAAGUUUGAUAAAGUGUCCGGCAGUAACUUGAGCCGACGUCCAUAAUAGGUACCAAUGAAAUAUCAGAGUCGAGGAUGGUUAUCUCGGGGGCCCAUCUGGUACAUUUAUCCCAUCAGAACUAAUGACAGGUCUAAUAGAGUCGAUGAAUCAAGAACGUAAAAAGAUUGAUAUCAAUCGUAUAUCGGAGAAUAGAGAGGUGACAGGUCUGUGCGUAACCCUGUAAGGAACGAAAAUAAGAACAAUUGAGGCCACGGUAUUUGGAGAUUCAUGACCACUCGAUGCCAACACCGUACCUGCAUCGGGCACAUCAAGGAUACCAAAUGGCCUCGACCAAUGCAGUCUGACCCUACCUGGAGAGACCCUAACUUGAUGUGCAAGUAUCAUGGAACUCAUGGCUAUAGAUUCGCUGACUGCCGACAGUUAAGAGGAUGCGGCUCGGUUAUUCAAUAACGGGCGUCUUUGGAAAAUUCUAUGUGAUCGAGUCGAAAAUCACUUCAGGAAUAGGGAUUCCAACAAACAGGCCGAAUAUGAAGAACCUCAGCAUGUCAUCAACAUGAUCAAUGGAGGAGUCAAUGUUCCCUAGGGACCAAUGCUAAAUCGCACUAAGGUGUCCAUCACAAGAGGAAAAACAAACCCGAGAUUGUAUCCAAGAGGGAAUCAUUUCGUUCAAUGAUAAGGACGUCAAAGGCAUCAUACAAUCGCAUAAUGAUGAACUGGUGAUAUCUAUAAUUAUAAAAGAAUCUCAAGUUAAAUGUGUGUUGAUUUAUCUAGGUAGCACAACCAACAUCAUCAGAUCGAGAGUCGUAGCAGUUGGGUUUACAAGACCGUCUAGUGCCGAUAGUCCGAGUGUUGAACGGAUUUAACAUGGAAUGUGAAACUACUAAAGCAAAAAUAAUCCUAAUGGUGAACAACGUCGGGAUCAUUCAAGAAAAUAAAUUCUAUAUGAUCGAAGGGGAUAUAAGAAAUAAUGCUCUAUUCGGAAGACCAUGGGUUCACAAUAUGAGUGUGGUACCUUCGACCGUGCACCAGACAUUAAAGUUCCUACUCCGGGAGGGAUCAAGACAGUGUACGUAGAGCAGCCGAUUGCAAAGAAAAUGAUCAAAAUCGAUGAAGUAAUCCCAGUAACCACCAUUUUGAUGUUAAAAAGUAGGGAGUCGACAAAAAAGGCCAAAGUAAAAUAACAAUCACUGAUGCCGGUCCCGGUCGGACUAGAGUGAUAAGAAGUCGAUGAGGAAGAUGAUUAGAGAGUUCCUAGAUUGUUCAUAGAUUGUGAUGGUGCCGAUGCCGAUGCCACCAAAUCUACGGUCAAAGAACUGGAGAAAGUUAUAUUGACCGAACACCUGCCGGAUCGAAAUAUAUACCUAGGCACAAGGUUAACCCCCUAGCUUAGGAAAAAACUUAUUAGUUUUCUUAAUACUAACAUAACUUGUUUUUCAUGGUACCAUCUUGAUAUGACAUGGAUCCCACUAAAGAUAACCACUCAUAAAUUAAGCUUGGAUCCAAAGUUCCACCCGGUCAAACAGAAUAGGAGACCUCGAAGUCAAGCAUGCAUUCAUCAAUGAUGAGGUAUCUAAACUUAUUAAAAUAGGUUGCAUUCAGAAAGUUAAAUACCUGUUCUUGUUGGCUAAUGUAGUGGUGGUACCUAAAGGGAAAUAAAUUAAGAAUGUGCGUAGAUUACAAAGACUUGAACAAGGCCGUAUCUAAGGACUCUUUUUCUUUGCCUAACAUAAAUCGUAUGAUCGAUGUGACAACCGUGCACGAGAUACUCAGCUUUAUUGACUCCAAUUCUGGGUACAACCAAAACCGGAUGGACCGGAUGACCAAGAAAAAAAUUCCUUUAUCACUAAAUUUGGCACCUAUUUUAUAAUAUAAUAUCGUUCGGGCUAAAGAACGUUGGUGCCACUUAUCAACGCCUAGUAAAUAGGAUGUUCGAAGAACAGAUAGGAAAAUCAAUCGAGGUUUAUAUUGACAACAUGUUAGUUAAAUCCCUGUUUGUUGAGGACCAUUUGAAACAUUUUUAGGAAACCUUUGACAUAUUGAAGAGAUACAGUUAAGGGAUCGAGAUCAAUCCCAAUGAAAUAAAGGCUAUACAAGACAUCACUUUGGUGGAUAGAGUCAAGGUCGUUCAGAGGCUAACCGGGUGCAUUGCCGCCUUGUGCCGGUUCAUAUUGAGGUCCUCAGAUAAAAGUCAUCAAUUCUUCUCACUGCUGAAGAAGAAGAAGAAGAAGAAGAAUAACUUUUCUUGAACUACGGAGUACCAACUAGCUUUGGAAGAACUUAAGGGGUUUCUUUUAAGUCCACCCCCUUUUUCAUACUCCGAAGGCGGAUGAGCAAUUGUACCUUCACUUGGAGGGAUUCAAUGUGGCGGUGAGUGGAGUCUUAGCUGAGAAAAUGAAGGUACACAAUUUCCUAUUUAUUGUGUUAGUAGAACUCUAGCUGAGACCGAAUCAAUGUAUUCUCACCUUGAAUAAUUGGCAUUCUCUUUGAUAUGCACCUCCAGAAAGUUGAAAUCAUACUUUUAGUGCCACUCCCUAUGUGUCAUAACCUCAUACCCACUAAGGAACAUUAUACACAAACCCGAGCUCUCGAGUGUGUUGGCUAAAUGGGCCAUAAAAUUUAGCGGGUACUAUAUCGAGUAUCGGCCUCGAACCACCAUUAAAUCAUAAAUCUUGGCAGACUUCUUCAACGACUUUAUGCCUGCCUUAAUACCCAAAGUAAAAAAAGGAAUUUUUGUUAACCUUAGGGGCUUCCUCGAGAAUUUGGACCCUUUUUACGGAUGGUGCUUCGAACGCAAAGGGUCCAGACUGAGCAUCCUGUUGAAAAUGCCUAUGGUAACGUAGUUAGGUAGUCUAUUAGAACUGUGAAAUUAACAAACAACAAGGCCGAGUACGAAGCCAUGAUUGCAGGUCUAGAAUUGGCUAAAAGUCUGGAGCCGAGAUGGUCGAAGCUAAGUGCAAUUCCCUCCUUAUGGUAAAUUAAGUCAAUGGGAUGUUCGAAGUAAAAGCGGGAAUGAAUGCAAAGGUUAAUACACCCUAAAACAUGUUCCUCGAGAUCAAAAUAGCGAGGCUAAUGCUCUAGCUAACUUGGGGUCAUCACUUAAUUUAUGAAUUGAAGAUAAAUUCAAUUCGGGAAUAGUCGUACAAAUCAUGAAAGUAUAAGAAGGCCAUGCUGAAAUAAACUCAACAAUUUUAACGGAUUGGAGGAAAAAAUACAUAGAUAAUUUGAAGACUCAAAAUUUGCCCUCGGAUCCUAUAGAAUCAAGAGCUCUGUAUACGAAGGUAGCCCGAUUUAGCAUGUAUGAAGGGAAUAUUUUUGAAGAACAUUCGACGGUCUCUUUCCAUAUGAUUGGGGCUGGGAGAUACCGAAUAUGUCUUGAGAGAACUUCACAAAGGCACCUGUAGAAACCAUUCGGGGGUAGAAUCUUUGGUUUGAAAGAUAAUCAAGGCUGGCUAUUACUGGAUCGACAUGGAGAAAGAUGCGAAGGAAUUUGUACGAAGAUGCGAUGGUUGUCAAAGACACGCACCGAUGAUCCUUAAAGCGGGAGAGCUACUACGUAUGAUCUUUGAUUCUUGGUUUUGAUGUUAUUUAUGGUCUAUAUAUCUUUAAAUAAGUUUAAAUUAAGUAAUGGAAUUAUCAGUUUGAUUAGAUAGGGGGCCUGAGGGGCUCAAGUAUGUUUCAAGAUGGUUCCAAACCAUCUUAGAAUGGUUUGAUGAUGCUAGUUCAUAUGUGCCACACCUGCAGAGUAUAGUGCGCAGGUGUGAGGUCACACAUGUUAUGUUAUAGUCGCAUCAACGAAUGGGCUAGUGCUGGUGAUUGACUGCACCUAUAGUUGGACGUGUACAUGUAUGUAUGUCGUAUCCGUGAAAUUGAUAGCGUGCCUCCGAAGGCCAUGCCUGGUGAUAUAGCUCACAAAAAUGGAGAUUGAGAGCUCCUGCACUCUAUGCGCCUGAGGACUUAUGUCGCUUCAGCAAUGGUGUAGAUGAGCAAAUAUUUACGCAUAUGCAGAGAAGGAGUCUGUGCAGAUAGCUCGUAAAUGCAAGGCUUGGAUUGCAAAAUCGAGGUUGACUCAUUUUUCACCAUUUUUAGAUUUGGAGCUCGGGAAGAAGUGAUUUUUAUUAUUAUUAAGGGUAAGUAAUUUUUACCUAGAUUUAAUUUUAUAUGUUGAUUCUUCGUAGAUUUAUACACUAAAACCAUGGAAUUUCAAGAGAAAUUUGGGAUUUUGUAUACAAAUUAAGAGGAUGUAUUUUGGGGAUUUGAGGGCUGAUGGACCCGAUUUAGAAUCUAAUUACAUACUCAGACUCAUGAGGUUAUGGGUAAUCAAGAUUUAUCCAUUGACUUUGAUUUUGACAAUUUGGGCCUGAUUUACUUUGUUGAUUUUUUGGGAUUUAAUUAAAGAUUGAAGCUUUAUUACUUCAGAUUAAUUUUUAUAGCAUUAUUUAACUCCUUUGAAUAAUAUUUGUUAGGUUCAAGUUAUUUGGAGAUGAAUUUGAAAGAAAAGGAGAUUGUUAUUGAUUGAAGCUUACCAGUCGAAGGUAAUUCUCCUGUCCUCCUUGCCAGAGGAAAUUCUCUAUAUAGGUGAUUCAUUUGCUGUCUAUUGCUUGAUUUAGGUGUUACGUAUAUGUGAUGUGACAAGCCUAUAUGCAUAGCUAAGUUAUGACCUUAACGAGACAAAGUUAGGCUUAUGAUAUGCAUUAUUUGGACUUAUGAAUUGUUUAUUCAUGUUUCUUUGAUUCUAUGACUACACCAUAAAUCUUAAUCAUGAUUAGAAGCCAUGCUAUGAUUACCACUUUUUAAUUUUGACAUGACGGGCUUCUUUGACCAUUUUGAGCUUUCUAAUUUAACCACACUCAUACAAUCGUCUUUCCUGAUUUAUAAUCUUUUGGUUAUAUGCUUAUUUUUCUCUUAUUAAUAUCAUGAUCGGACUUAAGAAUGUUAAAUAAAUAUAUUAAAUUAUUAUUAGAGUUUAAAUACAUGAUUAUCCAUACACAUCUUUUAUUCAUGUAAAUAUCAUAUGCAUUUUUAUUAUUCUAUCAUGCAUUCUAUCAUGUUGCGUCUUUACUAUAUCAUUUCAUAUGCAUAUUCCUGAGUUGGAAAGUAAAUAAUGAAAAAUGUUGAGAAUUUUUCCACCAAGGAUAUUGAUUAUGGAUGACAUUAUAAUUGGAUUGAGUUGCACGCUGCAAUGGCAUUAUGAGUCGAUCGGAUUGUACAACGCAACGAUACUAUGAUUAAAUCAAGUUGUAUGUUGCAAUAUUAUUAUUAGUGGAUAGUAUUGUGCACCAUAAUAACAAUUGGAUAUAAAUUUAUUCCUCCGGAGUUAGGUGAUUAUCCAUGUUGCUUUUGGCCUUGUGAGUAUAGGCACGUAGGUUAGUGCUGGUUUAUACUCUUGGCUAGUAUCAUGUAUAUGAAAUUGUGCAGUAAUGUAUUGAUAUUAGAUUACGAGCAUGUAUUUGCAACCUAUACUCAUACAGUCGGUCUUACAUAUAUAAAUAUCGACUCAUUCAUGUCAUGAUUAUAAAAUGUAUUGAGAUAACUAAUAUUAUAUUUUAUCUCCUUGUCUGAAAAAAAUAUCUGAAUUUCAGAAAUUUUUGUGCCUCUACUAUUGGACUCGAUUGAUAAUAUCAUGCUUUAGCCCAUGUUCUAAUUAUGCUUUUAUUUUCAUUUUGGACUGACAACAAGUGUCUGUGUCGGCCCUCGUCGCUACUUCUUCAAGGCUAUACUUGAUAAUUUCUGAGCAUCUUAAUUUUAUAUUCAUACUACACUUUGCACCUUUUGUGUAGGUUUCGAAGCUGGUACUUGUGGUACCCAUCGAGCUAAGUAAAAGCAUAUCAAGAGACUUUGACUGCUUAUUUGAUCUGAUCCGCAACACAUAGAUUCCCCCUUCCUUCCUUAUCUAUAUCUGUCUAUGUAUUUUUAUUUUCAGACAAAUAUUGUUGUUCAGUUGAGACUAUCUAUUCUUGUUAGAUGCUCAUGAUGAUAUUAUCACACCAGGCCUUAGAAAAGUAUAGGCCCUAUUUUUGAUUUAUGUAAUCAUGUUGAUAUUUGAAACUAAUUUCACUUUAUUAUUUAUAUCAUAACUUAGUUAAUGACUUAAUAAUUGAAUUAUAUUAUUGUUGAAUAUUGGCUUGCGUAGUAAGUGGGUGAAGAAUCAUCAUAAUUAUUGGUGAAAUGUUGAGUCGUGACAUUAGAAUUGUCUAGUGCUACUCCUUAGGUGGACUACAAUAGUUAAAUGUUGCAUGCAUCCUUUGUGAGUUCAAAAAACUAAAUUCAUAAUAAGGUUUGCGUGUGCAUAGGAUCAUAUUGAGCUUUCUUAUAACAAUGACUCCACUUAACCACUAAGCUACACUAUAUUUUUAUGGCAAGCAGGUUCAUUUUUUCAUACAUGUAUGAUUUCAUCUAUAACAUAUACAUGUAAAUAGUAAAAUUUUGCUAAAGCGGAUUUAGUUACCCUUAUUAUCCGAUGUAAGUUUGCCACUAGCUACUGCAAAGUAUCGUAAAAUACGUAAUGAAAAAUCUAAAGGUAAAAUAUCUUAGGGCUUAUAAAAUUGAUGAUCUAAGGAAUGACAUGCCUGCGCGGACAACACAGAUUCACAUUGCAUAAGUGUGUAUGGAAAAUGCACUUUAACCUUUUAAUUGGUACACUAGGUUUACACUUUUUUGGCAAAAUACAAUUCCUUAAUAAUUUUAACAACAACAACAAAAAAUCUAGUGAAAUUUUACAAAUAAAGUUUGGAAAAAGUAGUGUACGCAAGCCUUACUUCUACGUUGUGCAUGUAGAGAGAUUAUUUUUUGUAAACCUGCGGCUCAGCAUAGUCGUAGCCAUAAGCAAACGAAAUAAUGUAAUGAAAAAAAAGAUAUGAAAAAAGUAGUAACAACUGCAAGAUAAUAGCAAAAGUCAAGCAGAAGCAACAACAUAUAAAUAUAGACAACCAAGAAUAAGACUAAAUAAAAGUACUACUAGAACUACCAGUAAAAACAGACAGAAAGCUCUACUACCUAUUACCUUCAACCCUAAUUCUCGACCUUCAUAAUUUUCUAUCAAAGGUCAUGUUCUCAAUAAGCUAAAGAAGCUUCAUGACCUACCUAAUCACCUUUUCCCAAUACAUCUUUGGCUUCCAUAUACCUCUAGUUGUAUCUUCCAUAAUCAACCUCUCACAACUCUUUUCCGCGGUGUAGUAUAUCUCCUCUUGACAUGCCCGAACUAUCUCAGUCUCCAUUCUCGCAUCUUAUCCUCCAUAGGGACCAUCUCACCUUUUCGUAAAUAUCUAUGUUCCUGACUCUGUCUCUUCUAGUAUGCCCACACAUCCAUCUCAGUAUCCUAAUUUUUGCUAUCUUUAUCUUCUAGACACGAGAGUUCUUGAUUUGCUAAUAAUCCACUCCAAACAAUAUAGUCAGUCUAACCAUCACUAUAUAGAAUUUAUCGUUAAAUUUUUAUGGGUACAUUCUUGUCGCACAAAACAUUAUACAUAAUCCUAUAUUUAUUCACCCUGCUCGAAUACAGUGUGUGAUAUCAUCGUCAAUAUCCCCGUUAUCUUGGAUAACUAGCUCCAGGUACUUGAAACUUUUUCUCUUGGAGAUGACUUGUGUAUCAAGCAUCACUUUCACUUUAGCUUCCUGAGUAGUCAUCAUUGAACUUGGAUUCCAUAUAUUCGAUUUUAGUCCUUCUCAACUUAAAGUCAUUGGACUCUACGGUCUGUCUACAGGCCUCUAGCGUAACCUUAACACAUCCUUGUGUCUCGUCAAUAAGCCCGAUAUCAUGUACAAAUAACAUGCACAAUAGAAUCUCUCAUGGAUAUCUCGCGUCAAUACUUCCAUCGCCAAAGCGAAUAAGAAAUAGAUGUGAGCUGACCACUGGUGCAACUCCAUCACGACAAGGAACAAAACUUCUUCCGUUGUCCUUACCGGACUCUUAGCCCGUCAUACAUGAAUCGCCCUAAUGUGCGCUACAACAAUAUCUCUUAUCUCCAAGCACCUCCAUACGACUUCCCUUGGAACUUUGUUAUACGUUUUUUUUCCAGAUCAAUGAAUACCAUAUGCAAGUCCCUCUUUCUCUUCCUAUAUUGCUCCACCAACCUCCUUAUAAGAUGAGUGGAUUCAGUAGUUGAUUGCCUCGAUAUAAAGCCACAGUGAUUCUCGAAAAUAGAAACACAUCCUCACCCCCAUCUUUACCACCAUCUCCCAAAUUUUUGUAGUAUGACUUAGCAACUUGAUACUCCUAUAAUUAUCACAAUUUUGGAUAAUACCCUUAUUUUUGUAUACGGAAUCAUCGUACUCCAUCUCUAUUCAUCGGGCAUUAUAGAUCCUAAUGAUGACAUUAAACAGUUUAGUGAGCCACUGUAAGAAUGCCCUCCCUGUACUCUUCUAAAAAUUCACUUGGAUCUCGUCUGGCCAGUCGCUCUUCUCCUAUUUAUCUCACACAAUGCCUUCUCAACCUCCUCAGUCUUAAUUAAGGGUGUUAAACAGGCGGGUUAGCCCGGUUUCGGAUCGGUCCAGACCGGUUAAAACCGGACUCGGCCCGGUACAUAAGGGGCUGGAUUGGGCUGGGUUAGGGGGGUCAUGCGGGUUGCUCCGUUUAAGUUUUUAUCCUUUCCGAUCCAACCCGUUAAGUAAAUAGUGAUCGUGAACCGGUUAACCGGCCCGGUCCGGACCGGCAUAAUGGUAAAAUUUUUUUAAAAAAUAUUUUUUUAUAUGGUCGAGAUUUGACCGUUGCCAACGGGUGAAUUGUACAAUUUAUCCCAAUUUUGAUUUUUUCUUAAAAAAAUUAACCCGCCUUUCAAAAACUAUAAAUUACCCCCCCCNNNNNNNNNNNNNNNNNNNNNNNNNNNNNNNNNNNNNNNNNNNNNNNNNNNNNNNNNNNNNNNNNNNNNNNNNNNNNNNNNNNNNNNNNNNNNNNNNNNNNNNNNNNNNNNNNNNNNNNNNNNNNNNNNNNNNNNNNNNNNNNNNNNNNNNNNNNNNNNNNNNNNNNNNNNNNNNNNNNNNNNNNNNNNNNNNNNNNUUUAAUCGCAAUUCAAGUUAAAUCAUGCCUCGUACUUCUAGAGUGCGGCCAUAUGUUUGGCAACACUUUGAGCUAGUGAAAGAAAAUGAGGAAGAUCAGAAAGUAAAGUGCAAGAACUGUGGUCAAAUCUUAAAUCUUCGUUCAAGGUUUGGCACAAAUAGUUAAGGAGGCAUAUAAAGUAUUGUCUUGAGCGUCCUACGGAAAUUCGUAUUUAAGGUUUUAAGACAAUUUGUGUUAUUUAAAAAUUAUUAGACAUAUUUACGCUUAAUAUUUUGGUUUGUUAGAUUAAUUUGAAGUAUUAUUAAUUUAUUAUGCAUGAAAAUUUAGUUUUACUAUUCAUUUGUUAAAUUACUUUUUAAAUGCAAACUUUAAUUUGUAAUUUUGAAAUAAAUAUUACAAUUUAUAAGUGCAAUUUUUUCCAUCUUUCUUGUAUUCUUUAUAUUAAUACAAAGUAUUAAUAUAACGUACAAUAGUUAUACAAAAUAAAAAAAAUUAAAAAAUACACUAAACCCCGUCCGGCCCGGCCCCCUCAACCCGUAUUCAAUUUUUAGCCGAAUGAACUCGAACCCGUUAAACCCAAUAAGCCUCAACCCGUAACUGGUCAGAACCAUAACCCUUACGGGUCCAAAAGAUCCAACCCAGUCCGGUCCGAUCCACCCGUUUAACACCUUUGGUCUUAAUAUGGCUAUAAUAUCCAAAAUUAUGAGGAAUUUCACUGUGCUCCAAAUCACCAACACAAUGCUCCUUUUCCCUCUUCAUUUAAGAAUUUAUGGAUCCCUGGAAAUUUUCAAUUUGUUAAUACUAUUAAUCAUAAUUUUAAUUGUUGACUAGCCCAUUUGUGCUCAACCUAUAGCUAUCAAUCACACGUUUAGUCAUAGUUCGGAGAAGUUGAAAAUUUUAGCCUAUUUGAAUCGAUUCUGACAUCUCUAAAUGUGACCGCAGAUUGACAGGUAGUUGUGUCUAGUUCAUUUCAACUUUCAAAUGUGGACAGGGUUUAGCUAGAUUUGGAAGCAGUAUUCAUGAUCUUUUUUCUUAAUUUUGGUUAAAGUAUAAGUUUUGCAGUAAAUGGUCCUCGUCUAGUUUAGUUAAUUAUUAGUAAAUGACGUCCACUUUUACUUGAUUAACAGAAAUUUAGGAAAUAAAGAAAUUGCAGAUAACGGAUACAUUUGGAUGGAGGUGAGAGAGAUGGGUUGUGUUGGACCAAAACUCUGGUCCCCUUUCAACCAUGGACCACGGUCCAUCUAGGCUCGAUUUGUGUGAAUUUAAAUUGUAAGUAUUUUGUGACUUAUUUUAUUUGACUGCCUCCGUUUAACUUGUAUUUAAUUUUAAAAAAGAAAUUUAAUUAGUACUAUGUACAGAUAAAUUCAAGUUUUUUUCUCCUUUUUCUUCUUUUUCUUAGUUGUUGUGAAAGCGAAUAUAAUUUCAAGGGUAACCCCAAAUACAAAUGUCACAUAUAAGCCCACAUCAACUCCGGGCUGUCACAUCCAUUCCCUUCUAAGGCCCUACUAGGAUUGUAACAACUCAACCCAACUCAGAACAAAGAUGUUGAGUAGAAGCUCAACAGUUUGUACAAAUUUACUUAUGCCUCUUCUUUGGUCCCCAUUAGCAUGUGCUAAAUGGCCCCCGACUACACUUUUUACUGUUCCUAUGUUUUCCCUCAUCAAUUUUUUCUUUUGUAUCACAGAACUAUAACAAUAACAACAACCCAAUAUAAUCUCACUUAGUGAGGUCCGGGGAGGGUAGUGUGUCUGCAGAUCUUACCCCUACCCUGGGAUAGUAAGGCUGUUUCCAAAUAGACCUCCGACAUCCUCCCCUCCAAGAACUUCCCACCUUGCUCUUUGAGGACUCGAACUCACAACCUUUCAAUUGAAAGUAGGGUUUGCUUAAUUUGAUGUUAAAUUCAAAUAUAACCUGGUUAUCAAUUUUACGAGAUUGCAUUAUCCAAAUUUGUAAACCUAACAUAUUGAUUGGCUGAAUUUCCUUAUCAGCUUGGCCUUAUCUCGUCAUGCUGGUCAAUGAACUCCUCCCCCCUCCCCCCUCCCCCAUACCCACUAUGAGUUUGAUGGUUGUGGAGCUUGAUAAGAUAUGAUUUGAUUAAACAAUUAAUUUUGAACAAACCCUUUUUUGUUAAGUUUGUGGUAGAUAAACUGAUGUUCAAUUCUCAAUAUUCUUUCGUGAUUUGAUUAUAAUACAAUUUGAUUUGCAUCUAAUGUUCAUACCGUUUAAAAAAGAAGAUGAUUUACACCCUUUGGCACGAUUGGAUUGUUUCAAUCACUUACUUCGACAAGACUAACUAGUCCAAAUUAAGAGAAGACCGAUUGAAGUGUCCCAUGUCUGUCUACAGUGUUUGGGGUUAAAAUUUCAUUGAGGUUCUAAACGAUGCACACAUAAAAAAGUUUACUUAUACAUACAAUAUAAUUUUUCUCAAAGCGACACAAUCGAACUCCCUUGGUAAACAUAGCUCCGUCGCUGUCUGUCAACACAUCAAAGAUGCAUAUUUGCCUUGCAGUUUCGUUUAUAUUUAGCUAGAUUUACUGAACUAAUAUUCAGGGGGAAGGGGGGGAGACUAGCCUCAUUACUUCCCACUGGGCGAGAGGUGCACCUAACCCACCUACCCACUCAUCAAUCACGGUGUUCAGCUGACUUGCACUGAUAGACCCCUAUUGUAUUGGAAUUAGGCGCCCAUCUUUUUACUGUUGUCAAUGAAUCUCUUCCAUGUUCGAUUCUACUCUAUGUUAGAACAUUUCUGUGAAUGCUAUUCUGAUCUAAGUGGUCUUAUCUAAUUGAGUAGUGCGUUGGAUCUACACUUGGACAGCUUCAUCGAGACUUCACAUACGAACCAAGUCUUUCUGACGAGGCACCAGCUUUUUUGAUCCCUUUCCCUAAAGAGUACUUUCGUAUGCAUAACCUGUUCUUUCCUAUGGCUAAGCCGUGGAAUCCUAUGGACGUGGAAGACUAUAGAUAAGCAGUGGAAGUUAGAUCAGUUGCUUAGGAAGGUGCCUAUAGAAGUUCCCUGCCAUGCAUUUCCUGGACUCUGAUAGCCCUUGAUUCGAACCGUCAUUCUUUACUUCCGGGGUCAAUCAAUCGGUAGUCCUCCAAUUUAUUAUCGAAAGCCUGUUUAUAAGAAAUAGGUUAGGUGAUCGCUUAAAAGAAUGACACGUGGAACUUAAGGCGAGGUAUAGUUAUAAUCGAAGAAAAUCAUCCCAUUUGUCACUGGAAAGUAUAACACUCAUAAAGAUACAAUAAUUAAUCUCUGCUCGGUGGCAUUUAAUUGGCAAUAUUCUGCAGCAUUCAGUGUGCUGCAUGUUACAGAGAGCUUGUCAUUUAUGCUCACCGUUGUGCCUUCAUCAAUGACCCUCACAAUUAACAUUAAAAAAGGUCAUGAUUCGAGGACCUUGUUCCCUAGGUACAACUAUAAAUAGUGAGCUCUUAUCAUUUUAAAGAGAGGAAUUUAAUUAAAAAAACUUAUGCUAUAAUCUAUUCAAAGCUCUAUACCUUUUUAUCUUCUUAUUUCUUGGUUUCAUAGUUGUUGCUUCCGGAGGCCUCGUUUCCGGAAUUACUACUUCUAUUAUUUCGUCUUCAUAUCAAGGCUAAGUAUUAUGUAUUUCUUCAAUUCAUUUAUUAUUAUGUCUAGAAACCACGUAUAAAUUCAGUUGUACCGUUUUACGUGUAAAUAAUUUGGCGCUCAUCGUGUGCUACGACCCCAAGUUCCCUCCGUGGGAUGUCAUGAUGGCACCUUGUCUCUAAUACUAGGUAUCCUAACCAUAUGCUGAAACAUUAAAUAAAAGCAUAAAAUUUCAAAACUCCAACAAUUUCGUAAAUAAAAACUGAAAACUCAAUACGUACAACUCCCCAAAACCUGGUGAGAUAUAAGUCACAAAAUCAAAUACAGUGCUGAAUAAUCCUAUACAUUAUUGUCCAUAAAAUUAUAAUGAAAUAAGAAAGAACAAGAUAGAAGGGGAUUCCGAGGUCUACAGACAGGGGCAAGUGUACUUUGACGCCUACAAAUGCAACACAACGCACUAGUGACGUGACUGAUAAGAUGCACCUGUAUCUAUACAAAAUUAUAAUCAGAAGUAUAGUAUAAGUACACCUCAACGAUUCUCAGUAAGUGCCAAACCUAACCUCGGUAGAGUAGUGACGAGGUCAGGUCAAUGUCCUACUGUAGAUAAUAAGGAAAAAGAUUGAACAUAUAACGAUAUAAUGAUAAUGGCAGAAAAUGAAACAAUAAUGAAUUUACGGAAGAUCAAUAACACAAAAUCAAAGCAGUUAAUAUAACAUGGAAGGAAACAAGGAUUUACAUGUUAAUGAAACAAACAACCAAGACCAAUACUAAAACUAAAGAAAGAUCAACCAGGGCACUACUGUGGUAUCGCCUCAUAGUCACAAAUCAUAAAAGUAACUCACAGUCUUUUCUUAUAUCACCGCGAGAGUCUUUGAAUUUAGUUUUGAAAAUUAUUUUUUCAGAAGUAUCACCCCGCAAUUUAGCGCACCUUACCACACCGCAUGACUUCUACUCGUUCCCCUUCCAGCCAUGCAUAUGAAGACCACCUUAUCUAAGUG